UACGUAGGGCGCGAGCGUUGUCCGGAAUUAUUGGGCGUAAAGAGCUCGUAGGCGGCCUGUUGCGUCCGCUGUGAAAUCCCAGGGCUCAACCCUGGGCGUGCAGUGGAUACGGGCAGGCUGGAGGCAGGCAGGGGAGAACGGAAUUCCCGGUGUAGCGGUGAAAUGCGCAGAUAUCGGGAGGAACACCGGUGGCGAAGGCGGUCUCUGGGCCUGUACUGACGCUGAGAAGCGAAAGCAUGGGGAGCGAACAGG
rnacentral:rRNA from 1 species